rnacentral:rRNA from 1 species
UACGGAGGGAGCUAGCGUUGUUCGGAAUUACUGGGCGUAAAGCGCACGUAGGCGGCUUUGUAAGUUAGAGGUGAAAGCCCGGGGCUCAACUCCGGAACUGCCUUUAAGACUGCAUCGCUUGAAUCCAGGAGAGGUGAGUGGAAUUCCGAGUGUAGAGGUGAAAUUCGUAGAUAUUCGGAAGAACACCAGUGGCGAAGGCGACUUACUGGACGAUUGUUGACGCUGAGGUGCGAAAGCGUGGGGAGCGAACGGG